CCAGACUCCUACGGGAGGCAGCAGUGGGGAAUAUUGGGCAAUGGGCGCAAGCCUGACCCAGCAACGCCGCGUGAAGGAAGAAGGCUUUCGGGUUGUAAACUUCUUUUAAGAGGGAAGAGAAGAAGACGGUACCUCUUGAAUAAGCUCCGGCUAACUACGUGCCAGCAGCCGCGGUAAUACGUAGGGAGCAAGCGUUAUCCGGAUUUACUGGGUGUAAAGGGCGCGUAGGCGGGAUGGCAAGUCAGAUGUGAAAUCCGGGGGCUCAACCCCUGAACUGCAUUUGAAACUGUCGUUCUUGAGUACUGGAGAGGUUGACGGAAUUCCUAGUGUAGCGGUGAAAUGCGUAGAUAUUAGGAGGAACACCAGUGGCGAAGGCGGUCAACUGGACAGCAACUGACGCUGAGGCGCGAAAGCGUGGGGAGCAAACAGGAUUAGAUACCCUUGUA
rnacentral:rRNA from 1 species